UUGCACGCUGGCGGCAUGCUUUACACAUGCCAGUCGAACGGCAGCGCGGGCUUCGGCCUGGCGGCGAGUGGCGAACGGGUGAGUAAUACAUCGGAACGUGCCCAGUAGUGGGGGAUAGCUCGGCGAAAGCCGGAUUAAUACCGCAUACGACCUGAGGGUGAAAGCGGGGGAUCUUCGGACCUCGCGCUAUUGGAGCGGCCGAUGGCAGAUUAGCUAGUUGGUGGGGUAAAGGCCUACCAAGGCGACGAUCUGUAGCUGGUCUGAGAGGACGACCAGCCACACUGGGACUGAGACACGGCCCAGACUCCUACGGGAGGCAGCAGUGGGGAAUUUUGGACAAUGGGCGAAAGCCUGAUCCAGCAAUGCCGCGUGUGUGAUGAAGGCCUUCGGGUUGUAAAGCACUUUUGGCGGGAAAGAAAAGGACUGUGCCAAUACCACGGUUCGAUGACGGUACCCGCAGAAUAAGCACCGGCUAACUACGUG
rnacentral:rRNA from 1 species